rnacentral:rRNA from 1 species
CCUACGGGGGGCUGCAGUGGGGAAUAUUGCACAAUGGAGGAAACUCUGAUGCAGCGACGCCGCGUGAGCGAUGAAGGUUUUCGAAUCGUAAAGCUCUGUCCCAUGGGAAGAUAAUGACGGUACCAUGGGAGGAAGCCCCGGCUAACUACGUGCCAGCAGCCGCGGUAAUACGUAGGGGGCUAGCGUUGUCCGGAAUUACUGGGCGUAAAGGGUUCGCAGGCGGAAAUAUAAGUCAGGUGUAAAAGGCGAAGGCUUAACCUUCGUAAGCAUUUGAAACUAUAUUUCUUGAGAUAUGGAGAGGUAAGUGGAAUUCCUAGUGUAGCGGUGAAAUGCGUAGAUAUUAGGAGGAAUACCAGUGGCGAAGGCGACUUACUGGACAUAUACUGACGCUGAGGAACGAAAGCAUGGGUAGCAAACAGGAUUAGAUACCCGAGUAGUC